rnacentral:misc_RNA from 1 species
UUUCCGUAGGUGAACCUGCGGAAGGAUCAUUAUUGUAUAACCAAGGUCCAAGGGCUUUAGCUGACCCGAAAGUUGCUGCAGGGCCGAGUGCCCCCGCACCUGUCCAUCUCGCCCCUAACAGAACCACCGCGUGAGUCCCCCUUUGACUUGUUCUGCAAGGGGCUUACGCUUUCACCCAACGUUCUUAUGGUGUGUGGAUUGUAUUAUUUGUUUUUGCAAUCACGCAAUCAACACAACUUUCCACAUCGCACCACUUGGCUCUCGCAUCGAUGUAGAACG